rnacentral:rRNA from 1 species
UACGUAGGGGGCAAGCGUUGUCCGGAAUUAUUGGGCGUAAAGCGCGCGCAGGCGGCCUUGUAAGUCUGGUGUUUAAGCUCGGGGCUCAACCCCGAUACGCACCGGAAACUGCAAAGCUUGAGUGCAGAAGAGGAAAGUGGAAUUCCACGUGUAGCGGUGAAAUGCGUAGAGAUGUGGAGGAACACCAGUGGCGAAGGCGACUCUUUGGUCUGUAACUGACGCUGAGGCGCGAAAGCGUGGGGAGCAAACAGG